GAGUAAUGAUUAGGAAAUCCAGCUAAAAUCCAAAGGUUUUUGGUAAAGAUUAUGUUAACAUGCAGAAGAUGAAGAACAACUUAAUUCGAGAUGAGAUCAUGUUAUGGCUUAAACAGAUUUGCUAAGUGGCAACGUGUGGAUGGUUGAAGGGUUGUGAUUUCUCAGUGAUGGAGGCCCACAAAUGAUGAUGAUGGACUAAUCAUGAUCACCAAAAGCCAAUCAAGCCAAAUGGGAACAAUUAUCAGUUGCUUCAAUAAAACAGACUCUCCAUCUCUUUCUUUCUAGUUUCAUGAACAUUCAACAUCUCCUAGGAAGAAGAAGAAGAAGGAUUGAAAAAUUAAUACUUGGACAAAAAGAGAGAGCAAUACUAGGAGGAGGGGAAGACGAAUAAGCCACCUAGUCUUAAUUGGUUAAGGUAUAUAUGUUUGAUGUCACAGGUUUGAUUCCCACUCCAAUGCAGCUCCUUGUGUUGUUGAUCUAAAAGAAGAAGAAUAAGCUACAUGAAUAUAGUUCUACUGGCCGUUAAGGAAUAUAUUUUCGACAAAGAAAUCAAGGUUUGAUCCAGCUCAUCUCCACCCUGCAUGCUUUUGAUGAUCUAAAAGAAGAAGAAACGAUAUCGUAGGAAGAAAACGAGCGUGAAGAAGAAAGAUCAGGAAGUGACAGGUAGAAGAAGAAUUGAUAUCAUAAGAGGAAGAAGAGCUUGAAGAAGAAACACUGCAAAAAGUGCAAAGAAGGCGAGCACGGGUUCGGGUAUCUGGAUGGUGGUGAAAGUGUGAAUGGGGCAGUGUAAAUCCAAGAAAGAAAAUGGCAGAGAAGAGAUGAAAAGUUCAGAAGCACACAAGUUUGGAUGUAUGGAGAUGAUCAAAGAGAGAAAAACCAGAUUCUAUAUUGCAAGGAGAUGUCUCAUCAUGCUUAUUUGCUGGGAUAAAUAUGAUGGAAGCUGGUAAAGUUGGAGAAUGGCAUGCACCUUCCUUGAAGGCAUUGGUAAUGACAGUUACUAUAUUUUCUUAUGUUUGUCUUUGCUUUGUAAAUUUCCUUUUGGAUUAUCUAUCUAUUUUCCAUGAUAAUCCGAUUGUAUAAUCUCUUCGAAUCUUCAAUUGCAAAUGAAAUUCCUCUACUCCAUUUUAUUGUGCAAA